GCGUGUCCGCGCUGCGUGUCCGCGCUGCGUGUCCGCGCUGCGUGUCCGCGCUGCGUGCCCGGUGGGCGCGGGGCUUCGUGCUUCUCUGCUCUCUCAGAGACUUGGUUUUCCCCCGCGUAGCGAGCAGAUGCUGUUUGUACGUGGUGCUUCACGCCUCCUGGCGUUGUGCUUGGGAGGGAGGCCUGGCCGCAGGUUGACAAUUGCCACACGUUUUUUUGUGGCUUGCCACGCAUAUGUUUGUGUUCUUUGUGACUUGCUUUCCCAACCUGUCCUUAGGUUUUCACCUUCACUUCUCCUGUGCUUUAAAGGAAACAUGUUUGUCCUUAAACUGGUCUGUGAUGUCUGCAGCCUGCCCGAUGGCCAUUCCAGUUGGUAUGUGGUGCUAUAAGAUUUGCAAAUUAUUCCCAAUGCAGGUGAAGACCUCUGAAUGGUAGCAAAGAACAACUGAGCAGAAACUGGAAUUACUGAAAAGUGUGCAGACAUCAGUGGUCCAUAGAUUUCAGUUCCAUCAUGAUACUAAACUGACCCACAGCAGUUUGCAGAAAAUGUCAGGACUGGUGUCUGAGGAAGUGAGGAAAGGAGGGCACCUGUCUCUGAAACAACGCUGUGACUUGGAUUGCUGUGAAUCUCCGUCUCUUCUUGUGCUGCUGUGGUAUAUCUGUGUAUAUCACUAUGUAAACUACUGAAAUUACAGUGAUAAAAGAGAAAGGGAAAAAAAGCUUCUGUUGUAGAAAUGCAGAGAAAAUAAAUGGCAUAGCAAGAAAGCCUUACUGUGACUGAAAAAUUACAUUUGCCUGUUAUAAAGCUCUAAUAUUAACUAUUUAACAGGCAUGAGAAGGGAAAAAAGGGCUUAGAGAAAAUCAGGAAAGCAUCUGAAAAUCAGGGUCACUUUAGAGGCUUUUGUGAUUUCCUGUAAUGUGACAUAAAACAUCUGUUGUAUUUUUGCUGGGAAAUUUGUAGCUGAGGUGAAUGUAGCAGAAAAUAAAAGUUGAGAAAACAUA